rnacentral:rRNA from 1 species
GUUGCCUACGGGACGCAGCAGUGGGGAAUAUUGCACAAUGGGCGAAAGCCUGAUGCAGCAACGCCGCGCGAAGGAAGACGGUUUUCGGAUUGUAAACUUCUGUUCUUAGUGAAGAAUAAUGACGGUAACUAAGGAGCAAGCCACGGCUAACUACGUGCCAGCAGCCGCGGUAAUACGUAGGGGGCAAGCGUUAUCCGGAUUUACUGGGUGUAAAGGGAGCGUAGACGGUUACGCAAGUCUGGAGUGAAAGGCGGGGGCCCAACCCCCGGACUGCUUUGGAAACUGUAUAACUGGAGUGCAGGAGG